rnacentral:misc_RNA from 1 species
GGGUCAAUUGACCCCUCUUUUUUCUUAAAUUACUCAUAUAUUUAUAUAUUUGUUUAAAUCAAACCCUCAUAAAAUUUAAGUAUUGAGCUCCUCUUUUUUAACAGAGGAUGUAAAUUUAACAAUAGGAAGUCAAUUGACCUCAAAAAAUUUUUUUUCUAGAUCCGCCAUUGUUUCACUCUUUUUUUCAAGCUUUUGUAAUGUUAAAAUUGUUUAGGAGCAAAUAUAUCUCUAUCAAAAUAAUUCCUACACCUACUUUAUUUCAUCUACUGUGUUUUUUCUAGGCUUUGUUUCACCUACUUUUAUUUUGAUGGAGACUUCGUAUCCAAUAGAGCUGAAUGACCAAAAAAGAUCCAUGUAGGCAUAGCUAACCCAACUAGUUUGGGAUUAACG